UUAAAUGAAUAAGGGCGUAUGGUGGAUGCCUAGGCAUGUAGAGCAGAAGAAGGACGCAGCUAACGGCGAAACGCGACGGGGAGUGGUAAGCACACAUCGAUCCGUCGGUCUCCGAAUGGGGAAACCCAGCGCGAGUAAUGUCGCGUUACCCAUGAGUGAAUACAUAGCUCAUGAGGAGAGAACCCAGGGAAUUGAAACAUCUUAGUACCUGGAGGAAAAGAAAAUAAGAAUGAUUCCCUCAGUAGCGGCGAGCGAACGGGGAAGAGCCCAAACCAGCCUUAGGGCUGGGGUAGUAGGACCACGACGUGGUACAGUAACCGAUAGAAGAAGGACAUUGAAAGGUCCGCCAAAGAGGGUGCAAGCCCCGUAAUCGAAAUUGGGAGCUGACCUAGUGGAAUCCUGAGUACGGCGAGGCACGUGGAACCUUGUCGGAAGCAUCCGGGACCAUCCGGAAAGGCUAAAUACUCCUACAUGACCGAUAGUGAACCAGUACCGUGAGGGAAAGGUGAAAAGAACCGCGGGAGCGGAGUGAAAUAGAACCUGAAACCAUAUGCUUACAAGAAGACAGAGCCCGUUAAGGGGUGAUGUCGUGCCUUUUGUAGAAUGAACCGGCGAGUUAUCUUAUCGUGCGAGGUUAAGUGGAAGACACGGAGCCGAAGCGAAAGCGAGUCUGAAUAGGGCGGGAGUACGAUGAGAUAGACCCGAAGCCGUAGUGAUCUAGCCAUGACCAGGUUGAAGUUUGGGUGAAACCAAAUGGAGGACCGAACCGACCCCCGUUGAAAAGUUGGCGGAUGAGUUGUGGCUAGCGGAGAAAUUCCAAUCGAACACGGCGAUAGCUGGUUCUCCCCGAAAUAGCUUUAGGGCUAGCGUCGAAGUAAGGGUAGUGGAGGUAGAGCACUGAAUUCAUGAUGGCGCCGUCAAGGUGUACUGAAUGAAAUCAAACUCCGAAUGCCAUUAUUGAAUCUUCGGCAGUCAGACUGUGGGUGAUAAGGUCCAUGGUCAAAAGGGAAACAGCCCAGAUCAUCAGUUAAGGUCCCAAAAUUACCGCUAAGUGGAAAAGGAUGUGGGGAUGCACAGACAACUAGGAGGUUGGCUUAGAAGCAGCCACCCUUCAAAGAGUGCGUAACAGCUCACUAGUCGAGUGACCCUGCGCCGAAAAUUAACCGGGGCUAAGCGGUAUACCGAAACUAUGGCAAUGAUGUAAAUCAUUGGGUAGGGGAGCGUUCCAUGGGCGUUGAAGCUGUACCGUAAGGAGCAGUGGAGCGCAUGGAAGUGAGAAUGCCGGUGUGAGUAGCGAGAUGCAGGUGAGAAUCCUGCACACCGAUAGACCAAGGAUUCCAGGGGAAGGUUCGUCCGCCCUGGGUAAGUCGGGACCUAAGGCGAGGCUGAAAAGCGUAGUCGAUGGAAAACAGGUUGAUAUUCCUGUACCCGCGCAUCGAGUGAUGGAGUGACAAAGAAGGCUAACCGGACCGGUGAAUGGAUUCCGGACCAAGCGAGGUAGGAGGCAGUCAGGCAAAUCCGGCUGUCAAUCUGAAGGCGUGAUGGGGAGUGAACAGCGCGAGCUAAGUAGCGAAGACGGCGAUGCCAGCUUUCAAGAAAAGCUUCUAGCGCUAAUCGAUGAGCGGCCCGUACCAAAACCGACACAGGUGGUCAAGGCGAGAAGCCUAAGGUGAGCGAGAGAACUGUUGCCAAGGAACUCGGCAAAAUAGCCCCGUACGUUCGCAAGAAGGGGCGCUCGAAAGAGCCGCAGUGAAGAGGCCCAAGCAACUGUUUAACUAAAACACAGCUCUCUGCAAAGUCGCAAGACGAAGUAUAGGGGGUGACGCCUGCCCGGUGCUGGAAGGUUAAGAGGAUAUGUUAGUCGCAAGACGAAGCAUUGAAUUGAAGCCCCAGUGAACGGCGGCCGUAACUAUAACGGUCCUAAGGUAGCGAAAUUCCUUGUCAGGUAAGUUCUGACCCGCACGAAAGGCGUAAUGAUUUG
rnacentral:rRNA from 1 species